rnacentral:rRNA from 1 species
GAUGAACGCUGGCGGCGUGCCUAAUACAUGCAAGUCGAGCGAAUGGAUUAAGAGCUUGCUCUUAUGAAGUUAGCGGCGGACGGGUGAGUAACACGUGGGUAACCUGCCCAUAAGACUGGGAUAACUCCGGGAAACCGGGGCUAAUACCGGAUAACAUUUUGAACCGCAUGGCUCGAAAUGGAAAGGCGGCUUCGGCUGUCACUUAUGUAGGGACCCGCGUCGCAUUAGCUAGUUGGUGAGGUAACGGCUCACCAAGGCAACAAUGCGUAGCCGACCUGAGAGGGUGAUCGGCCACACUGGGACUGAGACACGGCCCAGACUCCUACGGGAGGCAGCAGUAGGGAAUCUUCCGCAAUGGACGAAAGUCUGACGGAGCAACGCCGCGUGAGUGAUGAAGGCUUUCGGGUCGUAAAACUCUGUUGUUAGGGAAGAACAAGUGCUAGUUGAAUAAGCUGGCACCUUGACGGUACCUAACCAGAAAGCCACGGCUAACUACGUGCCAGCCGCCGCGGUAA